rnacentral:rRNA from 1 species
GAUGAACGCUGGCGGCGUGCCUAAUACAUGCAAGUCGAGCGAACAGACGAGGAGCUUGCUCCUCUGACGUUAGCGGCGGACGGGUGAGUAACACGUGGAUAACCUACCUAUAAGACUGGGAUAACUUCGGGAAACCGGAGCUAAUACCGGAUAAUAUAUUGAACCGCAUGGUUCAAUAGUGAAAGACGGUUUUGCUGUCACUUAUAGAUGGAUCCGCGCCGCAUUAGCUAGUUGGUAAGGUAACGGCUUACCAAGGCAACGAUGCGUAGCCGACCUGAGAGGGUGAUCGGCCACACUGGAACUGAGACACGGUCCAGACUCCUACGGGAGGCAGCAGUAGGGAAUCUUCCGCAAUGGGCGAAAGCCUGACGGAGCAACGCCGCGUGAGUGAUGAAGGUCUUCGGAUCGCAAAACUCUGUUAUUAGGGAAGAACAAAUGUGUAAGUAACUAUGCACGUCUUGACGGUACCUAAUCAGAAGGCCACGGCUAACUACGUG